GAUGAACGCUGGCGGCGUGCCUAAUACAUGCAAGUCGAGCGAAGCGGGGACGGGUGAGUAACACGUGGAUAACCUCCUAUAAGACUGGGAUAACUUCGGGAAACCGGAGCUAAACCGGAUGCUUAUAGAUGUAUCCUCGCGGCAUUAGCUAGUAGGUAGGGUAACAGCUUACCAAGGCACCGAUGCAUAGCCGGCCUGCGAGGGUGAUAGGCCACACUGUAACUGAGAACAGGUCCAGAGUCCUACGGGAGGCAGCAGUAGGGAAUCUGCCGCAAUGGGAGAAAGCCUGACGGAGCAACGCCGCGUGAGUGAUGAAGGUCUUCGGAUCGUAAAACACUGUUAUUAGGGAAGCGGUAGCUAAUCAAAAAGCCACGGCUAACUACGUGCCAGAAGCCGCGGUAAGAC
rnacentral:rRNA from 1 species